CCAUAAUUCUCAACCAGGAAAGAGGCAGAAAAAAAUAGUUAAUAGUUAAUUAGAGUUAAAAUAAGUUCUCUUUCAAAACAAACAUCUUAAGAUAUGAGUGGAAAGUAUUGUUCUUGCAACUGCAUUUAUACCCUUUUUUCUGACUCAAAUGUAGCUUAACCAUGUCAUGUGAUGCUACUUCCCCAGAUAGCAACUGACUCUGGACCGGAUCCGCCUCCAAACCGGCAGGUCCAUGUUACAGUCUCACCGGUUUUACAUCCCCGUGCCAGAUACGGACCGCAUACAGGCUGACGAGUGGGUGUGUCAGUUAGACUCGCAAUCAGUCAGCAGAGUCAAAGUAGUUACGGGCCAGAUCCGUGGAAACGAGCGCGCGAUUUUUUUUCUUUUUCCUUUUGUUCAGUUGUAUCAGAACAGACCAAGGAAAAGCAGGAGACCGUUGGCGGCUUUUCUUCCAGCGUUGGAAAAAUUUUUAUUACGGUUCAGGUUCCCCCAUAGUGCCGCGGAUCAGUAGGAGACAAGAUGAAAAGGAGGCAACCUCCAUUAACAAGCUCUGGAGUCAGGCGGAGGGCCCGCUUAUCACUUGAAAAACGACUCCAUGACAUUGCUGAAGACUGUCAUUUAACAUCAGAGCAGACAGUACCUAGGACAGACCCCUGCCACAGCACCAAUGACACUGAUGGCAACAAUGACUGUGAUUCUAGAGUCUUUCCUCAAGUGGAGGAUGACAAUUCAGACGGCCUUCACACAGACAUAGCAUGGGAAGAACAAGUAAUUGUUUCAGAGUCUGAUGCAGAAGCUGAAUU